UCAUGAAGCCCUUGGCAUUGCUGACACUUCUGCUCAUCACGAGUGGUUCUGCAGUGGGGCAAAUGUUGGAAUCUAAUGUGACUGGCUAUGUUGGAAAGGAUGUACUUUUAUCAUUUAACUGUUCUAAAGACCCUAAAGAGCUGAUAUGGCAGAAAGGUGAGAGAUUAGUGAAUGUUCAUUCACAAGACAAAAUCACCAUAGAUGAUUCCUACGUGGACAGGACACAACUCUUCAUAAACAUGGAGAAGAGAAACUGUUCCCUGCUGCUCCGCAACAUCUCUACAGCAGAUGCAGGACUGUACACCUGUUAUGCCAUAGACACUGUUGAUAACAAGGUCUGGACAAAGGAGUCUACAGAAGUUAAUUUAACAGUGGAGAUCAACCCUGAAAAAAGCGUCCAAACUGAAGAAGAAUCUGACACAGCUGUCCCUGUUAGUGUUCCCAUAGCGGUAGUACUGCUUAUACUGGCUGUUAUCCUGCUUCUAAUCCUACUGAUCAGAAGACAACAUCGGACACGCACGGACACUGAUUUACCGGCUGAGAAACCUAUGCUACAGAAUGUGUGAAGUGCUCUUGCUUGACAGUUUAAUGGACUUACUUCUAUGUUGUAAUGCAAGGUCCUUCACAACAACAACAAUGGACAAUAAGAGGCCUUAGCCCUAAACAAAUGCGUUCGCAUGUGGGCAUUACACAAUGGUGCGUGCUGAUCCGUCUCACUUUGAGACAGAUUAAUGUUCAGUUUUCAGUUGUAACACUGUUACUUGUUUACCACUGAAUU
ensembl:lncRNA